UACGGGGGGGGGCAAGCGUUGUUCGGAAUUACUGGGCGUAAAGGGCGCGUAGGCGGUGCUCUAAGUUAGAUGUGAAAACUCUGGGCUCAACCCAGAGCCUGCAUCUAAAACUGGAGUGCUAGAGUUCUGGAGGGGGGUAGCGGAAUUCCUGGUGUAGCGGUGAAAUGCGUAGAUAUCAAGAGGAACACCUGCGGCGAAGGCGGGUUGCUGGGCUGACACUGACGCUGAAGCGCGAAAGCCAGGGGAGCGAACGGG
rnacentral:rRNA from 1 species